UACGAAGGGGGCUAGCGUUGCUCGGAAUGACUGGGCGUAAAGGGCGCGUAGGCGGCUUGCACCGUCAGAUGUGAAAUUCCUGGGCUUAACCUGGGGGCUGCAUUUGAUACGUGUGGGCUUGAGUGCGGAAGAGGGUCGUGGAAUUCCCAGUGUAGAGGUGAAAUUCGUAGAUAUUGGGAAGAACACCGGUGGCGAAGGCGGCUAUCUGGACCGACAUUGACGCUGAGGCGCGAAAGCGUGGGGAGCAAACAGG
rnacentral:rRNA from 1 species